AUUGAACGCUGGCGGCAGGCCUAACACAUGCAAGUCGAACGAGUGGCGGACGGGUGAGUAAUGUCUGGGAAACUGCCCGAUGGAGGGGGAUCACGACUGGAAACGGUCGCUAAUACCGCAUACCAUCGGAUGUGCCCAGGUGGGAUUGGGUAGUAGGUGGGGUAACGGCUCACCUAGGCGACGAUCCCUAGCGGGGCUGAGAGGAUGACCAGCCAAACGGGAACUGAGACACGGUCCAGACUCCUACGGGAGGCAGCAGGGGGGAUUAUUGCACAAUGGGCGCAAGCCUGAUGCAGCCAUGCCGCGUGUAUGAAGAAGGCCUUCGGGUUGUAAAGUACUUUCAGCGAGGAGGCGUUACUCGCAGAAGAAGCACCGGCUAACUCCGUGCCAGCCGCCGCGGUAAUUC
rnacentral:rRNA from 1 species